UUCAGCGGGAUGGCUUGGUGUUUCCUCAAUGUGUGGCCAUAGCCAUAAUUUGGUUGGGACAGUGGUAGGCACGAUUUGCACAACUUGUCGGUACUGUCCACACACACACCGCUUUGACUGGUUAACCUUUCUGCGUGUCCUUCUCCCGAACUUGACCGAAACCAUUCUGGCCUCUUUCUUCUCUUAUUUUCUUCCGUGGUGUCAGGCGCAGCAUCCCGAGUCCCCACCGACGAACUUCUCCGACGAGCCGUCAUGAUCCGCCCCGGCGAGCCUACUGUGCCCCCUCCCCCCCCCUCCACCUCACUUCGUUGUCCUGCGCCUCCUCCACCACAUGAACCGUCAAGCCCCAGAGGGCGGCGCACCCGGAGGGCUGCUGCUGCCGCUCCGGGUAGGGCUGCCGCCGCCACGGCCCGGUGGCGGGGCACAGUCAACGUCAGGGCGAAACUCGGGAGAUCAGAUUCUUCAAGAUUGGGGCACGCUGUAACAGUAGGUCGAGCGGCGGCGGUGGAUAUCCGGAGGGUGGAGAUGGGAUCCACUGUUGGGAAGAGGAGGAAGCGGAAGGCCGCCUCCUGGAAGGUCCUCUUCCACCAUCCUCCGGUGCGGCAUCAUCAAGGCUGUCCUCGACAGGAAUGAGCUCGGCAAGGGUAGCUAUUCCUCGGACUGUCGUCGAGGCCCUCCAUGAGCAUAUGGCCGCACUCUGUUGGAAAUCCGCCUCAAGGUAUGUCCCGAAGAUCACCCGGACCAGAGUCGGAGCGAUCAUUCCAACAAGUUACUCAGUCCUCCUCUGUUAUUUCUCCGCCUGCUUGAUGUUUGUUUCUUUUUCCUAUACUGAUUUGUUGAUGUUACUUGGUCCGAGCGAUGUACCUCGGGGUCAAGUCGGCAAGAGCGCCAUCUGCAGGAGUGGUGUAUGUUGGGUAGACAUACCGCCGGGCUUGAGGGGCCGCCGAAGGUGGUUGACUUGGAGGGAGAAAGGAGCAAUGGUUUUGCGGCUUAAGUCGUGGUGAGCAGGGCAUGUAGGCGACGACCACGGGAGCCAUCCGCGUCGUGCUGCAAUGUACGUUGUAGCCCCCUAAACUCUAACUCAGUUAUAAUUUGUCAGAAGUGGAUGCAGUUCAGCAGGGGCUUGGAGUCCCACAAGCAGGGUCUCGGAACUGUCCAGAGAAGAUUGAGCAAUGAGGACAACCAAAAAGAUAUAGUAGGAGGCUAUUCAUAGAAGAGAACAAUAGACAGGUAAGAUCCAAUUGGAGGCAGUUACAAAAUUGCAAUCACAAUUUCAAGAGGAAGGUUAAGGUUUGUCUUAUUCACGUUCACAAUUCAUUGGUAAAUUUCAGUUGAAGAUUUUUCAUCUACAUCUCAGUCCGGCCUUAGUCACAUGAACAAAAUCAUUGUUAUUAGUUUUUUUUUCUUACUAAACGCAGCUUGGAUCUGCUCAAACAGAUUGGUCAGUAUAUUAUAUAAAGGCACAAGUUGUUCUGAGUCUAAUUCUUCAUACCAAUACUGCAGAAAUAUCUGCUAAGAAAUAAUUCCUAGGAAGAGCUACAGAAAUAGCUAUGUGAGAAAACGAUGGGUAUUUACUGCUCCCUAUCAAUCGACUAUACAUCAUAUAAAGAUUGCUAUGUUAAAUAACCUGAUUACAUGUCCUUACUGCAACAGAACAGGGAUGUAUUACUGCAAAUAUUAACUAACUUCUUCAUGAUUUAGAGUAUUCUAUAUAACUAAAAAUACUAUGAGUGCUUUACCACUACAAUAUCCUGCAAAUGAGCUCUUGAUUAUUCUGCCAAAGCUCUCAGGAGUCGAAAGCAUGUGUAUAGAUGGUUAAAUGUGUGGACUGCUAUGACACCAUGUAGCCAAAUCUGGUACAUCUCUUUGCAUCUAACAAAAACUCGGGACUUCCUAUUGGCUUGAGUGAAUACAUGCAUCCUAAACUGAAUACUUGCUUGACUGAGUUAACGCGUGCAUCUGCAGAUCUGAAUCAUGACUAGCAUGACUCACAAGCAGUUCCUCCAGAUUUAGACUUGAGAUCUAAUUCCCGCAACUUCACUGGCACAUAAACCAUUUGAUGUAUUACUGAAAGAUGCACGAGUGGUGGUUUCGGUUUUUCAGGGUCCUACAGUGAUAGCAUGCACAUAAAGUAUCUUUCAAAAUGGCAAACUUCGAAAUGCACACAGCUUCCUGUUAAAGGUGAAUCCAACAGGCGCUGUAGCAAUUUAAGGACACCCUGGUUGAAAGGCUUUGUCGCAAUCAUUGCUUAAAUGGCUAAUUAUUGAAUACUUUCUCGGAAAUGGAUCAAGAUGAUGUAACUUCAUGCGAGAACAUUUUAUUUUCCUUCCUAUCACUUCUAAGAGAUUGCCGAUCCAUGUCUUUUUGAAUGAGAAGUUCCAUAGUUUGCUUUAAUGUGUACUAACGUUACUCUUAUGUGAAAUCACACCGUCAGUUAAAAUCUAUAUGUUAUUCUUAUUUUUCCUUGAUAUUUAGUUUGAAUGAUA